rnacentral:rRNA from 1 species
AUUGAACGCUGGCGGCAGGCCUAACACAUGCAAGUCGAGCGAGCGGCGGACGGGUGAGUAAUGUCUGGGAAACUGCCUGAUGGAGGGGGAUAACUACUGGAAACGGUAGCUAAUACCGCAUACCAUCAGAUGUGCCCAGAGGGGAUUAGCUAGUAGGUGGGGUAACGGCUCACCUAGGCGACGAUCCCUAGCUGGUCUGGGAGGAUGACCAGCCACCCUGGAACUGAAACACGGUCCAGACGCCUACGGGAGGGAGCAGUGGGGAAUAUUGCACAAUGGGCGAAAGCAUGAUGCAGCGAUGCCGAGUGUGUGAAGGAGGCCUUCGGGUUGAAAAGCACUUUCAGCGGGGAGGCGUUACCCGCAGAAGAAGCACCGGCUAACUCCGUGCCAGCAGCCGCGGUAAUUC